GCUGUGGCUCAGUGGUAGAGUGCUUCCCUAGCAUGUGUGAGACACUGGGUUCGAUCCUCAGCACUGCA
rnacentral:tRNA from 1 species